rnacentral:misc_RNA from 1 species
UAAUCUAUCACUUGCCUUUUGGUGAAGUGGAAUUGGACCGUGCUGUUAUUUUAAAUAAUUAACGGCUCGUCUCGAAAUGCAUUGUUGCCUGCAGAGUCUUGCGCGGAGUGAGACUGACGAAACGGUGUGAUAUUUAUAUCUGCGCUGAAGUAGUUGGUUUUGAGCUGCUGCACUAAGGAGCGCUCUGGGCUUAUAAAAUCGAGGAUUUUAAUUAAUCCCCAAUUUUCUUUUGC